UACAGAGGGUGCGAGCGUUAAUCGGAAUUACUGGGCGUAAAGCGUGCGUAGACGGUUAUUUAAGUCGGGUGUGAAAGCCCCGGGCUCAACCUGGGAAUUGCAUUCGAGACUGAAUAGCUAGGGUACGGUAGAGGGAAGUGGAAUUUCCGGUGUAGCGGUGAAAUUCGUAGAUAUUGGGAAGAACACCAGUGGCGAAGGCGGCUAACUGGUCCGGAUCGUGACGCUGAGGUGCGAAAGCGUGGGGAGCAAACAGG
rnacentral:rRNA from 1 species